rnacentral:rRNA from 1 species
UACGGGGGGGGCAAGCGUUGUUCGGAGUUACUGGGCGUAAAGGGCUCGUAGGCGGCCAACUAAGUCAGACGUGAAAUCCCUCGGCUUAACCGGGGAACUGCGUCUGAUACUGGAUGGCUUGAGUUUGGGAGAGGGAUGCGGAAUUCCAGGUGUAGCGGUGAAAUGCGCAGAUAUCAGGAGGAACACCGGUGGCGAAGGCGGGUCUCUGGGCAAUAACUGACGCUGAGGAGCGAAAGCGUGGGGAGCGAACAGG